CCUACGGGUGGCUGCAGUGGGGAAUUUUGGACAAUGGGCGAAAGCCUGAUCCAGCAAUGCCGCGUGUGUGAAGAAGGCCUUCGGGUUGUAAAGCACUUUUGUCCGGAAAGAAAUCCGUCUGGCUAAUACCCGGACGGGAUGACGGUACCGGAAGAAUAAGCACCGGCUAACUACGUGCCAGCAGCCGCGGUAAUACGUAGGGUGCGAGCGGUAAGCGGAGUUAGCGGGGGUAACGCGUGCACAGGCGGGUGACAUCCCCGGGCUCAACCUGGGAACUGCAUUUGUGACUGCAAGGCUAGAGUGCGUCAGAGGGAGGUGGAAUUCCGCGUGUAGCAGUGAAAUGCGUAGAGAUGCGGAGGAACACCGAUGGCGAAGGCAGCCUCCUGGGAUGACACUGACGCUCAUGCACGAAAGCGUGGGGAGCAAACAGGAUUAGAUACCCGUGUAGUC
rnacentral:rRNA from 1 species